GUUUUUAUACAGCGAUCACUCAGUAAACGCAGAAAGAAUAUAUGCCAAUAUGCCGCAUUUGCUCAUUCAUAAUGAAAAAACACAUAGCAAUCUGGCUUUCCUGAACGAGCAGCGUAGAAAAAGACUUAGGUAUAAUACAACACACGGACACACAGACAUCAUGUCCGUUCUGUUACUACCAACGUUCCCGGCUCAGAGGCGGAUCAAAUCUGACCCGCCUUUCGUGCUCAGUACCUUUUAAUACAGCGUACAAGUCAUAUUGGUGCAAUACUCCUGGAAAAUAUGCCAGUAUGAAAGCACCUUAUCUGUCCUUCUUUGUCAAAUUUAGGGGUACUAUGACACAGAUUUCCCCAGGUAAAUUGCUCAGCUAAAGUAAGCCAAAGGUGACAGCCAUGGAGUCUCCAAAACAGUAGGUCUGAUUCUGUCUCAACUCUAAGCAUGCCUGGUAGACUGACUGACACAGUAGCCUUGAUAAAGAUGCACUGUUAUUUAUUUGUUAGGUAACCCAAGGUCGAGAUUAUCUUUCACAGUUUUAUUACAGACAGACUGAUUGGCUCUAGGUAGACAGUUUUGCAUGUGGCUCUAAUGACACACAUCUCCACACAUGUAUAGAGGGGUGAUCGGUAACCUUAUUUGGACACUUAGUGAAUCUCUGAAGGUCUUGGAAAGAUAAAUAGCCCUAGAUAGUCAGUUUUGGUGUUGGCAUUCCAUGUGUUCAAACGUUGUACGCUGGCACUGAUUUCCUCGACCAGGCUCAAUAAAAUAUGCUGUUUAAGUCUUCAUCAGUCCCUGAAACUUCUUCAUGACACCUGAACCUUGCUCGCUUUAUUUCAAUAACACUUGCAACAUGAAUACAAUUUCUAUGCAUAUUUUUUCACUGGAAGUUUAUGAAUUUAAUAUGGCAUCACAUGCCUGAAAUAUUAGGGAACUCCUGCACUACGGUGUUCCUCAGAACAUGAAGUUUAGAAUGGUGGACGGUUUUGUAUCCUAGCCAUAACUAGAACAUUUUAGAAAACAGUGAGUCUGGUGAUAUUUUAUGUAGCCAACAGCUAUUGUUCUUAGUAGUUCCCAUUUUUGAAAAGAGCAAUCACAUAGAAGUUCUCUCAUCCGUGUGACUUGACUUGACAAUUUGAGUGGAGUAUCUGUUAACCAAUCAAUCUCUAUGCACAGAUUUAGACAGAAACUAGUUUUAGUGAAAUGUGGUCACUUUCUUGAGUUUAUGUUGUGUUUAAGAAGCCAAUGGUAGUGGUGAAUCAUCAGAGAACUACCAGUUUUUUCGUUGUAUCUGUAUCUUUGGCCAGCACACCACAAGUCAAACGGAAUAUUCUUAUCUAAUUAAAGGAAUAAUGCUAGUUUGUAGAAAACAGGGAAACUCAAGGGAUUAAAGGUACAGGUAAAAAACUUAACCAGAAUAACAAAAAUAUGGCCAGUACCUGGGUUAUUGUUAUAUUUAUGUAAUAUUUGUUACUUGUUAUCUGUGCAUAUAAACAUUUUUCAUGAUAUGCCUGACAUUUGGGCAAAAAUCUUACCAUAACUGGUACUACGGAAUAUUUUCUCUUUCCAGGUAUGGUGUAGAAAACAGUUUAUAUUAUUUGCUGGUAUUCAAGCAUCUGCAAGUACAGUAUGUGGCCAUGCCAAUCUGAAGGUGAUUCAGUGUUCCUGAUGUCAAGAAGACCAUCUUCAUCAAUACCACCCGAGACCGAGACACUGCCUACCUGACUCUGCCUGUCAGCCUGCCAAGCCACACCGCCCCGUACAGAACUAAGAACACCAUUACCUAGCACUCUGCCUGGAAAACCUCGCUCUCCCAAAUCAUUCAUUCCCUCUCCUGCACUGUGAUUAAUAAACCAGAUUGUGUGUUUUACA